rnacentral:rRNA from 1 species
AGUGAACGCUGGCGGUAGGCCUAACACAUGCAAGUCGAACGGCAGCACAGUAAGAGCUUGCUCUUACGGGUGGCGAGUGGCGGACGGGUGAGGAAUACAUCGGAAUCUACUUUUUCGUGGGGGAUAACGUAGGGAAACUUACGCUAAUACCGCAUACGACCUACGGGUGAAAUCAGGGGAUCUUCGCACCUUGCGCGAUUGAAUGAGCCGAUGUCGGAUUAGCUAGUUGGCGGGGUAAAGGCCCACCAAGGCGACGAUCCGUAGCUGGUCUGAGAGGAUGAUCAGCCACACUGGAACUGAGACACGGUCCAGACUCCUACGGGAGGCAGCAGUGGGGAAUAUUGGACAAUGGGCGCAAGCCUGAUCCAGCCAUACCGCGUGGGUGAAGAAGGCCUUCGGGUUGUAAAGCCCUUUUGUUGGGAAAGAAAAGCAGCAGAUUAAUACCCCGCUGUUCUGACGGUACCCAAAGAAUAAGCACCGGCUAACUUCGUG